rnacentral:rRNA from 1 species
AUGGCAGAGUCGCUGCUUCUCCCUCUAGUGCGCGGCGUGGCCGGCAAGGCCGCAGAUGCACUCGUCGAGACCGUGACCCGCAUGUGUGGCCUCGACGACGACCGCCGAAUGCUCGAGCGCCAUCUUCUAGCCGUCGAGUGCAAGCUGGCCAAUGCCGAGGAGAGGAGCGAGACAAACAACUAUGUCAAGAGCUGGAUGAAGGAGCUCAAGUCCGUUGCCUACGAGGCCGGCGACGUGCUGGACGACUUCCAGUACGAGGCGUUGCGCCGCCAGUCUAAGAUUGGCAAGUCCACUACCCGCAAGGUACUCGGCUACUUCAUGCACCGCAGCCCGCUGCUCUUUCGUUUUGAAAUGAGCAAGAAACUCAAGAACAUCCUCGAGAAGAUCAGUAAGUUGGUCGAGGAGAUGAACAAGUUUGGCCUGGAGAAUUCUGUCCAUACAGCGGAGCAGCAACAUCCUUGGCGGCAGACACACUCAAAACUGGAUGACUCUACCAAAAUCAUUGGAAGAGAAAAUGAUAAGGAGGUGGCGGUGAAGUCGUUGCUGGACCAGCAGGAUCAGCGGAAGGUGCAAGUGCUGCCCAUCUUUGGCAUGGGAGGUCUUGGCAAGACGACUCUCGCUAAGAUGGUGUACAAUGAGCAAGAGGUCCAGCAACAUUUCAAGUUGAAGAUGUGGCACUGUGUGUCCAACAACUUUGGUGCCAUUGCUCUUUUGAAAUCCAUCAUUGAGUUGGCCGAAAAUGAAAGAUGUGACAUGCCUGACACCAUUGAGUUAUUACAGAAGAAACUUGAGGAAGUAAUUGGCCGGAAGAGAUUUUUACUUGUUCUUGAUGAUGUAUGGAAUGAAGACAAGAGGAUGUGGGAUGAUGAAUUGAAGCCACUAUUGUGUUCUGUUGGAGGACCAGGAAGUGUUAUAGUGGUCACAUGUCGAAGCAAGCAAGUGGCCUCUAUAAUGUGCACUGUUAAGCCCCAUGAGCUAGUAUUUCUGAGUGAAGAAGAUUCUUGGGAAUUGUUUUCGAACAAAGCAUUUAGCAAUGGUCUAGAUGAGGAAGUAGAGUUGGUCACAAUCGGAAGGCGUAUUGUAAAGAAAUGCGGGGGGUUGCCUCUUGCUCUCAAGACAAUGGGUGGAUUGCUGAGUUCAAAGCAACAAGUACAGGAAUGGAAGGCCAUCGAAGAAAGUAACAUUGGGGAUAAUCAUGGGGGCAAAUAUGAGGUCAUGCCCAUACUAAAGUUAAGCUACAAGCACCUGUCAUCUGAAAUGAAGCAAUGUUUUGCAUUCUGUGCAAUGUUUCCCAAGGAUUAUGAGAUGCAGAAGGAUACAUUGAUCCAACUAUGGAUGGCAAAUGGCUUUUUUCAAGAACAGGGAACAAUGGAUUUAGCACAGAAAGGAGAAUUCAUUUUUGAUGAGUUGGUUUGGAGGUCCUUUCUCCAAGAAAAGAAAUUGGUACUCAAAUGUAACACCAAAUAUGAGACUAUAGUAUGUAAAAUGCAUGACUUAAUGCAUGAUCUAGCAAAAGAUGUCACGGAUGAAUGUGCAAGUAUAGAAGAACUCACUCAGCAGAAGGCAUUGUUAAAAGAUGUCUGUCACAUGCAAAUGCCAAAGGCUGAAUUGAGACGAAUCAGUGGAUUACACAAAGGCAGACCACACCUCCGCACUUUGUUAGCUCCUUCAGAAUCAACACACAAGGAUUUUAAAGAGAUGCUACAAGUAUCAACAUCACUAAGAGCAUUGCAUUGCUUCCCUUCUUCAGUAGCCAUUUGCAAGGCCAUAAAUGCAAAACAUUUACGAUAUCUUGACCUCUCUGGGUCUAACAUCAUUAGGUUGCCAGAUUCAAUAUGUGUGUUGUAUAACUUGCAAACAUUGAGGCUCAUAGAUUGCGAGAAGCUGCAGCAGUUACCAGAAGACAUGACAGGACUAAGAAAGCUCAUCCAUCUUUAUCUUUAUGGUUGUGAUAGUCUCGAAAGUAUGUCUCCAAACUUUGGUCUACUGAACAACCUUCAGAUAUUAACAACAUUUGUUGUGGAUACUGGAGAUGGCCUUGGAAUAGAGCAGCUCAAAGACUUGCAACACGUUAGCAAUAGGUUGGAAUUGCUGAAUUUGAGCAAGAUAAAGAGUGGGAAGAAUGCAGAAGAAGCCAAUCUCAGUCAGAAGCAAAAUCUAAGUGAGUUGUUGUUCUCCUGGGACCAAGAAAUAGGUGAUGAGCCUACAGAUGUGGAAGAAGUGCUCCAGUGUUUAGAACCACAUAGUAAUAUCCAAAAAUUGGAGAUAUGUGGAUAUGGUGGCCUAGAAAUAUCACAGUGGAUGAGAAAGCCUUAG